GUAAGGUCGGAUUGUCUCAUCGUGAGUUGUGUGUGAUUUACCUGAUAUUUUCAUGCGCAAUCAUGCCGUAGACAUAACAGUGGUAAUGAAUAUCGCUGCUACACCAUUAAAGUACACAACGGAACAAUAAGCGUCACAAUUGCUGGAAUGUCAUGUUAGCAAACCCAUUUAGACAAACUUUAAAUUGCAAGAGCAGCUAGUACCCCGGUGGCAGAAUAAUCAUGAUUUCUCAUUCUGUCUAAUUGACAAUUGUUACCAACAGAACGUAAAAGCGUGAUGAUUUUGCCGCCAGGGUAGUAACGGAUCGAAUUUAAAUCGCCUUUUUGUUUGAGCUACAAAGAAUUGAAUAAGUGACCAAUUAUCUUAAUUAUAAAUCCUGAUAUUUGUUAAGUUUAAGCUUUUGUCGCGGAAUGUGCAGCUAUAGUAUAACUCAAAUAUGAUCGUACAAUUUAGGGAUAUGAAGUAAG